CCAUCAGCAGUGGCUGGGAUAACCAUUCACUCAGAACUGAAGGGAAUCUAACAGUCAAUUAUGGGAGAUGGGAAGAAUCCAGCAUGCUGUCGUAGAACCAGAAAGCACAAAGGGACUCUGCCUGCCUCAUAUUGACUGGGACAACAGUGGACUGCUGGAUGAUCCACACUGUGGGGCCACUAUCCCUGAAACUGCCGAUGUGUUGCGCCCCAAACAACUGGUAGCACUGAGGGCAGCCAUGGAUGCACUGGGAUAUUCUGAAUCAUAUGUCUCAGAUAUAUAUGUUGCUACUGUGCAGUAUGACCAACACUUUACGAGUUUAAUAUUAUUGUGGUUACCAUUGUUGCAAAAGGUUUUCAAGUAGUAAAAUCCAGCCAGGAAAAUGUAUUCACUGAAUAAAAAUGUAGAACUGCUGGGAUUGUGAUAGUAAAUGUGUAAGGUACUGUAUAAACAUUUUGAAAAUGCUGAGGUUAUUGAAAAAUAGGGGCACAUGGGGCUGUUACUAAAACUGAGGAUGCAAACAUUGUGGGACAAUUAAACAGUCUUUUAUUUUCCACAUUGCAUAAUAAACAGACCUUUUGAUAAA